UGGGGAAUAUUGGACAAUGGGCGCAAGCCUGCUCCAGCCAUGCCGCGUGUGUGACGAAGGUCUUCGGAUUGUAAAGCACUUUAAGUUGGGAGGAAGGGUUGUAGAUUAAUACUCUGCAAUUUUGACGUUACCGACAGAAUAAGCACCGGCUAACUCUGUGCCAGACGCCGCGGUAAUACAGAGGGUGCAAGCGUUCAUCGGAAUUACUGGGCGUAAAGCGCGCGUAGGUGGUUAGUUAAGUUGGAUGUGAAAUCCCCGGGCUCAACCUGGGAACUGCAUUCAAAACUGACUGACUAGAGUAUGGUAGAGGGUGGUGGAAUUUCCUGUGUAGCGGUGAAAUGCGUAGAUAUAGGAAGGAACACCAGUGGCGAAGGCGACCACCUGGACUGAUACUGACACUGAGGUGCGAAAGCGUGGGGAGCAAACA
rnacentral:rRNA from 1 species